rnacentral:ncRNA from 2 species
AAGAGGGAACCCGGUGGGAAUCCGGGACUGCCCCGCAGCGGUGAGUGGGAACGACCGCCGUCACAUGCACUGGGCCCAGGCGGCCCGGGAAGCGACGGCCAGUAGGUGCCGGUCCGUCAGGCCCGGUGUGCUCGCGAGUCCGAAGACCU